rnacentral:pre_miRNA from 1 species
AUUGGAAUUGCUGGGUCAAAUGGUAAUUCUAUUUUUAACUUUUGAAUAACUGCCACACUGUUUAUUACUGUGGCUUCACUAUUUUACAUCUCUACCAGCAAU